CUUGGUCAUUUAGAGGAAGUAAAAGUCGUAACAAGGUUUCCGUAGGUGAACCUGCGGAAGGAUCAUUCAUAAUAAGUGUCUUAUGGCACUUUUUAAACCCAUAUCCACCUUGUGUGCAAUGUCAGUCGAUCUUCUUCAUGGAGAUCGACCAAACAUCAACCUUUAUCUUUUAACUCUUUGUCUGAAAAAUAUUAUGAAUAAACAAUUCAAAAUACAACUUUCAACAACGGAUCUCUUGGCUCUCGCAUCGAUGAAGAACGCAGCGAAAUGCGAUACGUAAUGUGAAUUGCAGAAUUCAGUGAAUCAUCGAAUCUUUGAACGCAUAUUGCGCUCUUUGGUAUUCCGAAGAGCAUGCUUGUUUGAGUAUCAGUAAACACCUCAAAGCUUUUGGAUUUUUUAAUCGAAAAGCUUUGGACUUGAGCAAUCCCAACACCAAUCUUUUUGAGAUCGGUGGCGGGUUGUUUGAAAUGCAGGUGCAGCUGGACAUUCUCCUGAGCUAAAAGCAUAUUCAUUUAGUCCCGUCAAACGGAUUAUUACUUUUGCUGCAGCUAACAUAAAGGGAGUUUGACCGUAUUGGCUGACUGAUGCAGGAUUUCACAAGGGUCGGCAACGAUUCUUGUUAAACUCGAUCUCAAAUCAAGUAAGACUACCCGCUGAACUUAAGCAUAUCAAUAAGCGGAGGA
rnacentral:rRNA from 1 species